CCAGAGUGACCUCGACGACCAGCACGACUACGACAGCGUGGCCUCUGACGAGGACACAGACCAGGAGCCCCUGCGCAGCACUGGUGCCACUCGGAGCAACCGCGCCCGGAGCAUGGACUCCUCGGACUUGUCUGACGGGGCUGUGACGCUGCAGGAGUACCUGGAGCUGAAGAAGGCCCUGGCUACAUCGGAGGCAAAGGUGCAGCAGCUCAUGAAGGUCAACAGUAGCCUGAGCGACGAGCUCCGGAGGCUGCAGCGAGAGGUGAGGGUGCAGCCUCGGUGGGAGGGGGAGCCCCAGGACUCCAGGGGGUUGACAGCACUUUGCACCCAUAGAUCCACAAGCUGCAGGCGGAGAACCUGCAGCUCCGGCAGCCUCCAGGGCCGAUGCCCACACCUCCACUCCCCAGUGAAAGGGCGGAGCACACACCCAUGGCGCCAGGUGGGAGCACACACCGCAGGGACCGCCAGGCCUUCUCCAUGUAUGAACCUGGCUCCGCCCUGAAGCCCUUUGGAGGCCCCCCUGGGGACGAGCUCACGACACGGCUGCAGCCUUUCCACAGCACUGUGAGUCACCUGUGGGUCUCAAGGUGUGAGGAGAUGGGUGGGGCUGCCGCAGGGUCCACCAUGACGCUCGCUGUGCUAACAUCCCCAGGAGCUAGAGGACGACGCCAUCUAUUCAGUGCACGUCCCUUCUGGCCUUUACCGGAUCCGGAAAGGGGUGUCUGCCUCAGCUGUGCCCUUCACUCCCUCCUCCCCGCUGCUGUCCUGCUCCCAGGAGGGAAGCCGCCAC
rnacentral:sRNA from 1 species